AUGAAUUGAACUCUGUAAAAAAAAAAUAUCAACGGUUGAGUUCCCGUUGAAAGACUUUUCCUACUCACUUUCCUUCAUUUCAUUUAUCCUCUAAAUUGAUUUUCGCAGCAGCUUCUGUGUUGUCACUCUCCACCCUCUCAUUUUGGUUUUAUUUUGCUCCACUUCUCAAAACAAAAAGAAAGAAAGAGUUUGAUACUUUCUACUUUACGCCAUUAAUUUUCGUUGUAAUCGUCUCUUAGUUUGGUUCUGCUUUGCUCGAUCCAGUUCUUUUUCUAAAAAAGAAAAAAAAAAUCAAACUUUUUACCUUAAUUUUCGUUGCAGUUUUUUGUGUUAGUAUCCUAUCAUUUUAGUUGUACUCUGCUCCACUUUUCCAAAAAAGAAAAAAGAAAAAAAAAGUAGUUAAGUAUUUUAAGCUCCUCACCCCUGCUCUCAUUUACUAUAGCGAUUAUCCUUGAUCUGUGAAGUCAUAGAAGAAAAACCUACAAAAAUUGUAGUGUGAAGGAGAGAGUUUUUUUGCUCUGUUUUACUUAUCAAGACUUGUAAUGAAGGGAAAAGAAGAAGGUAUAGCCAACUGUUCACAGUUACUGCUACUCAGCAAAGUGACUGUCUGAGUGGAAAACAAAACAAGCUGCUUUGGAAUAGUUUGAGAUCCUAAAGAGAGAGUUUGUUUGCUCUGUUUUUCUUAUCAAGACUUGUAACGAAGGGGAAAGCAGAAGGUAUCGCCAACUGUUCACAAUUAUUGUUACUUAGCACAUUGAUUAUCCGAGUGGAAAACAAAACAAGCUGUUCUGGAAUAGUUUGAUAUCCUCAAAAGAGAGCAACCAUCCUUGAUCUGCUAAGUCAAAGGAGUAGAAGAGAAACCUGCUCAAAUUGUAGUGUGAAGGAGAGAGCGAAAAGAAGAAGGUAUCGCUAAGUGAUCACGUUUACUGAUACUCAGCAUAGAAAGGAAAACAAGCUGCUUUGGAAUAGUUUGAUGUCCUAAAGAGAGAGCGACCAUCCUUGUUCUGUCAAGUCAAAGGAGUAGAAGAGAAACCUGCUAAAAUUGUAGUGUGAAGGAGAGAGUUUGCUCUACUUAUAAAGACUUGUACAAAGGGAAAAGGAAAGGGUAUUGUUAACUGUUCAGUUUACUGAUACUCAUUAGCAAAGUGACUGUACCACUGAUUAAAAAAGAAAAAGAAAAAGAGUGACUGUCCAAGGUGAAAACAAGCUGCUCUGGAAUAGUUUGAAAUUCUAAAGAGAGAGGUUUCAGCUUCCCCGGCCCACGUGGAGACAGUAGAAGACUAAAUUAUAUUUCAUUAAUAUUCCAAAGACACAGAUAGCAGCCCAACCCAAGGAGAACAAAAAAAAACACAGACCAAUCAGAAGCACAAAAUGGAGGUUCUUACGGAGACCGUUAAAGUGAUCGUUGAAAAAAUUGUGGGUUACACAAUUACAGCAGUCGGAAGUCAGAUGGGUUAUCUGAUUCGCUACAAAAAAAAUGUUGACAAUCUCAAGAACGAAGUUGACGAUCUCGAAGAUGAUAGAAAGAGUGUGGAACGAAAGGUUGAAGCUGCUAGAAACAAUGUGGAAGAAAUUGAAGAUAAAGUCCAGAGGUGGCAGACACGUGUUCAGGAGAUCAAUAGAGAGGUACAAGAAUUCCUUGAAGAGGAAGGCCAAGCAAAGUUGAAGUGUUUUAAUUUGAAGGCCCGUUAUCAGAUUGGAAGAAAAGCACACAAGAUGGGAUUGGCCGUGAAGGAACUCAAGGAUAAGGUGGACGAGUUCCAUACAGUAGGCCGUCGUGUCCCUAUUGGAGGGGGUCCUAAUCCUAUAAUUUCUACUAAAGGUUAUGAGGACUUUGAGUCAAGAAAAUCCAUUUUUAACGGAGUUAUGAAGGCUUUAAGAGAUGAAAAUAUUCCUGCCAUUGGGGUUUGUGGGAUGGGCGGCUUGGGCAAAACCAUGCUUGUUGGGAAAAUUGCUAGACAAGCCGAAGAAGACAAGUUAUUUAAAAGGAUUGUUACAGUAGUUGCAUCCCAAACUCCAAACUUGAGACAGAUUCAGAAAGACAUUGCAAAACAAUUACAAAUAUUAGAUUUUUCAGAUGAGGAUGCAGGACAUUUGCUACAUGAGCGGUUGAAGAAAGAGAAGAUUCUUUUGAUUAUAGAUGACAUUUGGAGUAAGCUUGAAUUGGAGGCUCUUGGAAUUUCUUUUGGGGAUAAUAAAGAAGGAAGCAAACUAUUGCUGACGUCUAGAUUUCAAGAUGUAUUAGGCACGGAUAUGGAUGCUCAAAAGAUAUUCAAUGUUGGAGUUCUAUUACCCAAUGAAGCAGUAUACUUGUUUUCGAAGAUAGUGGGUGAUUUAGCUGAAAACUUGAAUUUAAAAUCUACCAUGAUUGAGGUUGUCAAAGAAUGUGAUGGCUUACCGAUUGCCAUUACAACAGUUGCGAAUGCACUGAAAAAGAAAGAGGAUCUAAAAGUUUGGAAGGAUGCCUUGCAACAGUUAAGAAGUGCAAGUCCAACAGAGAUUAAAGAAAUGCAUGACAAGGUAUACAAAAGUAUAGAGUUGAGUUACACUUUUUUAACUGAGGAAGCGAAAUAUUUGUUCUUGUUUUGCAGUUUAUUUGAAGAAGAUAUGGUCAUACCAAUAGCUUUGUUAUGGAGAAUUUUGGCGGGCUUGGACUUCUUUCAAAAUGUUUAUACAAUGGAACAAGUGAGAAAUAGGGUCCACACAUUGAUUGAAAGACUAAAAGAUUCUUGCUUGUUGUUGGAAGGUAAUGGAAGUGGUACAUUUAAAAUGCAUGACGUCAUUCGUGAUGUUGCCAUUUAUAUUGCAAACAAAGAUAAAGAUAAGGAGAUGUUAACCAUUAGAAGUUCAGAUGAUUUGGAAAAAUGGUCAAAUAAGAAAAAAUUGAAAGAUUUCUUUGGAAUCGCACUUUUUGAUGUUAAGUUCAGUGAUCUUCCCAAAAAGUUGGAAUGUCCACAACUUAAAUUCAUUUUAUUGGGUGAUAAAGACUAUUCUUCGGCAAUCCCUAAUCACUUUUUUGAAGGGACAAAAGAGCUCAAAGUUUUCUUUUUGUUUGAUGCAUACCAUUCACUUCCUUCAUCCCUUUCAUGUCUUCACAACCUCCAAUCGUUGGUUUUGCAUAAGUGUGAUCAGUUAGAAGAUGUGGCUAUAAUUGGAGAAUUAAAGAAUUUGAAAGCUCUUACCAUAUCAGGGUCCGACAUCAAACGUUUACCUAUUGAAAUUGGUCAAUUGACUUACCUUAAAUUGUUGGAUUUGAAAGGAUGCACCAAACUUGAAGUUAUUCCACCCAAUGUAUUAUCAAAUCUUAAGAGGUUAGAAGAAUUAUAUAUGAAGAGUAGUUUUAAUCAAUGGCAGGUUGAUGGAGAAAUCACAGAAAUAAACAAUACUAGGGUCACAGAGUUGAACCAUUUGUCACUCUUGACCACGUUGUGCAUUCAUAUUCCCAAUGCUAAGAUCCUACCAAAAGCCUUACUUUUUGAGAAAUUGGAAAGAUAUGAAAUAUUAAUAGGUGAUGAUUGGGAUUGGGAUUGGGAUAGUGACAGUGACAGUGACAGUGACGAUGAGUUUGAAAUCUCAAGAAUGGUGAAACUGGAACUUGAUAGAAGCUUUCAAGUAGAGGAUGGGAUUAAAAUUUUAUUGAAAAGGUGUGAAUAUCUUGAUUUGAUUCCUGGGGAGGGUAUUAAAAAUAUUCUUUACGAAGUUGAUAAGGAAGGUUUUCCACAAUUAAAGCAUCUCUAUGUUCGAGACAGCACAGAUAUUCAAUACAUCAUUAACUUGAUGGGGUUUCAAUGUGUUGUCUUUCCUCUCUUGGAGUGUCUUUCUCUAGACAGUAUGACAAAUUUGGAAAAGAUAUGCCAUGGCCAUGACCAACUUGCCAUGGGGUCUUUCCGUAGCUUGAAAAGGUUAGAAGUGAGCAAUUGUGAUGAGUUGAAAUUUGUCUUCUCCUUAACCAUGCUUGGAUGCUUUUCGCAACUUCAAGAAAUGGUGAUUAAGAAUUGCAAGGUAAUGAGUGCAAUUGUUGCAAAGGAAAGAAAACAUGAGAUACAAGUCCACAACAUCACUGACGACGUCAAAACAAAUAUAGUGGACUUCUCUCAAUUGCGUUCUCUGGAUCUACGAAAUUUACCAGACUUGAUGGGUUUCUAUUCUGAUGUUGAUUCUCAACUACUUUUCAGCGAAAAGGUUGCCUUUUUUAACUUGGAGAGAAUAUUCAUCAUUGGCAUAGAUAACCUGAAGAUGUUGUGGCACAAUCAUCAACUCAUUCCAGAUUCCUUUUGCAAAAUAAAAAAGUUGCAUGUUGGCAGUUGUAAAAGUCUAAUGAACAUUUUUCCUUCUACUAUGUUGAGAAAAUUCCAGAAUCUUGAAGAAUUAAAGAUAGAGGAUUGCAAUUUGGUAGAAGAGGUAUUUGAGGUUAGAGGGGAAAAUGUUGAUGAAAUAUGUGAUAAGGGAUCUACUCAAUUGAGAGUCUUGAGACACUUGACUUUAAUCAAUUUACCGAAACUUAAGCAUGUAUGGACUUCAGAUCCUGAAGCAAUUUUAACAUUUCAAAAUCUACGUCAAGUUAAAGUUUCUAAAUGUAAAACUCUGAAAAGUCUUUUUCCGGUCUCGGUGGCCAGAAGUCUUGAACAACUUGAGAGUCUACAUAUAAAUGAUUGUGAAUUAAUGGAGGAAAUUGUUGCUUUGGAAGAAGGCUUGGAAACAAUGACUAAGUUUGUGUUCCCAAAAAUAACCUCUCUAACUCUUCAAUCGCUGCCUGAACUUAAGUGUUUCUAUCCCAGAAAGCACACUUCAGAGUGGCCAUCAGUGAAAAGUUUGACGAUAUCCAAAUGUGACAAAGUGAAGAUUGUUGCUUCGAAUGAAUUAAACUUCACAGAAACAGAUGAGUUAGGCGAUCAUGUUCCGGUUCAGCAGCCCCUCUUUCUCAUUGAAAAGGUUGCCUUUUUUAACUUGGAGACAAUAAUCAUCGAUGGCAUGGAUAACUUGAAGAUGUUGUGGCAAAACCAACUCGUUUCAAAUUCCAUUUGCAAAAUAAAAAAGUUGCAUGUUGGCAGUUGUAAAAAUCUAAUGAACAUUUUUCCUCCUAAUAUGUUGAGAAGACUCCAGAAUCUUGAAGAAUUAAAGAUAGAGGAUUGCACUACGGUAGAAGAGGUAUUUGAGGUUAGAGGGGAAAAUGUUGAUGAAAUAUGUGAUAAGGGAUCUACUCAGUUGAGACACUUGACUUUAAUCAAUUUACCGAAACUUAAGCAUGUAUGGACUUCAGAUCCUGAAACAAUUUUAACAUUUCAAAAUCUACUUCAAGUUAAAGUUUCUAAAUGUAAAACUCUGAAAAGUCUUUUUCCGGUCUCGGUGGCCAGAAGUCUUGAACAACUUGAGAGUCUACAUAUAAAUGAUUGUGAAUUAAUGGAGGAAAUUAUUGCUUUGGAAGAAGGCUUGGAAACAAUGAUUAAGUUUGUGUUCCCACAAAUAACCUCUCUAACUCUUCAAUCGCUGCCUGAACUUAAGUGUUUCUAUCCCAGAAAGCACACUUCAGAGUGGCCAUCAGUGACAAGUUUGACGAUAUCCAAAUGUGACAAAGUGAAGAUUGUUGCUUCGAAUGAAUUAAACUUCACAGAAACAGAUGAGUUAGGCGAUCACGUUCCGGUUCAGCAGCCCCUUUUUCUCAUUGAAAAGGAUACAUUCCCUAACUUGAAAGAAUUGGAUUUGGAUUUGAAUGAAACCAUGAAUCAGACAAAUGGUCGACUUUUUGGAGAGUUCAUUUGCAAACUAGAAGAUCUCAGUUUGUCCGGCAAAGAUGAUAAAUUGAUAGCAGUCCCUUCGGUAUUUGUUGAAGGAUUACACUAUCUUAAGACUCUUUCCGUCACUAAUCUUUUCUUCGAUAACGAAGGACAAUAUGCUGGGACGUUUGAUCGUUUGACAGAGUUGAAUCUAUAUAAAAUGCCCAAGUUGAUGCUUUUGUGGAAGGAAAACUCUGAACAAGGUAGGGCAUUUCAAAAUUUGGGGAUUCUGAGAGUAUCAGAAUGCGGCAGAUUAAAAAAUUUAGUUCCAUCCUCAAUGCAUUUCCGAAAUUUAAACACUUUGAUAGUAUGGAAAUGUCAUGGGUUGAUUAGUUUUGCAACUUCCUCAACAGUCAAAAGUUUGGUCCAACUCAAACAAUUGUAUAUAUUUGAAUGCAAAAGAAUGAGAGAAAUAGUCACAAACGAGGGAGAAGGUGAAGCAGGAGAUGAGAUUUGUUUCAAUCAAUUGGAAGAUUUGUACCUUGAUGAUUUACCCAGUCUGAGAAGCUUCCACUUGGGUAAUCGCACCAUCAAAUUCCCAUCACUGGAAGAUCUAACUGUGACCAGAUGCCCGGAAAUGAAGAUCUUCUCUAAUGGAGUCCUAAGCAUGCCGAAGCUAAAGAAAGUUGGACUGGACGAAAACGAAUGGUGGCCAAAGCGAAGAGAACUGUUACCAGAGGAAGAUGUGAAUAGCGCCAUAAAAAGAUUUUGGGAGGAAAACUACGAUCCAUGCGUGCAACAAUUAUUCACUGAGAAGGUAAUGUUCUAAUGCUUUUAUUUUAUUUUAUUUUUAAAAGCAUUUUCAUUGGAGUAGACACAAGGAAAGUGGCAUGCGCUGUGGACCCAAUGGUCACAUAUCCUAAUUUCUAAGGUAACAUAAGGUUAUUAAAUAUAUGUGUAACACUUGCAAUUCUUAAUAUUGCUUUGUCACUAAUGGUCGCUAAUAGGUACAAUGCACUAGAAUGGUAAAUAUUUUUAUAUAAAAAAAAUGAUAUACAUUUAAUUAUUAAGUAUUAAAAAAUAAAAAAGUUCCCAUAAAAAAAUAAAUAAAAAGUUAAAUUAGAGAAUUUGUAUGAAAGAAUAUAGCUAAUUUAAUUAAAAUUUGUUAGGAGAACAUCAAACCUAAUUUAAUCAGAGUUUGUUUGAUAUUGGAUUUCUUUAUAUAUUAAAUUAAAACAGUGAGUUUAACUUAGUCUUAAGUUUGGCUUCAAAAAUAAAUAAAUAAAUGACAAAUACACACACAACUUUGGCUUUUUUUUUUUUUUUUUUUUUUUUUGUUUCAAAUUACCAAUUAGUUCACUUAUAUAAUUCCCUCAACAACCAAAAAAAUAAA